UACGGAGGGUGCAAGCGUUAUCCGGAUUUAUUGGGUUUAAAGGGUCCGUAGGCGGGCCGAUAAGUCAGUGGUGAAAGCCCAUAGCUCAACUAUGGAACUGCCAUUGAUACUGUCGGUCUUGAGUACAAUUGAAGUUGGCGGAAUGUGUAGUGUAGCGGUGAAAUGCUUAGAUAUUACACAGAACACCGAUUGCGAAGGCAGCUGACUAAUUUGUAACUGACGCUGAGGGACGAAAGUGUGGGGAUCAAACAGGAUUAGAUACCCUGGUAGUCCACACCGUAAACGAUGAUCACUAGAUUUUGGCCUUAUGGUCAGAGUCCAAGCGAAAGUGUUAAGUGAUCCACCUGGGGAGUACGUCCGCAAGGAUG
rnacentral:rRNA from 1 species